rnacentral:rRNA from 1 species
GACGAACGCUGGCGGCGUGCUUAACACAUGCAAGUCGAACGGAAAGGCCCUGCUUUUGUGGGGUGCUCGAGUGGCGAACGGGUGAGUAACACGUGAGUAACCUGCCCUUGACUUUGGGAUAACUUCAGGAAACUGGGGCUAAUACCGGAUAGGAGCUCCUGCUGCAUGGUGGGGGUUGGAAAGUUUCGGCGGUUGGGGAUGGACUCGCGGCUUAUCAGCUUGUUGGUGGGGUAGUGGCUUACCAAGGCUUUGACGGGUAGCCGGCCUGAGAGGGUGACCGGCCACAUUGGGACUGAGAUACGGCCCAGACUCCUACGGGAGGCAGCAGUGGGGAAUAUUGCACAAUGGGCGGAAGCCUGAUGCAGCAACGCCGCGUGCGGGAUGACGGCCUUCGGGUUGUAAACCGCUUUCGCCUGUGACGAAGCGUAGUGACGGUAAUGGGUAAAGAAGCACCGGCUAACUACGUG